AAGAGCUGAGAUCAUUUUCAUAUUAGUCACCACUUGUGUGUAUUUUGUUUGUUUAUUGAUCGAAACAUCGGGGAUUCCCUUUGAUUAACGACCAUCACCUGUUAGUCAGAUGUCCUUAUUGCAAAUAUGACAUGAUGAUUCUUGCUCAAACUCAAACAAUGAAGACAGCCCUUCAUAGUUAUUAAGGAUAAGAGUGAUGUGCUUGUGUCCCUGAACAUGUUGCUCUCUUGAUUCCACAUUUGAUUCCACCAGGUUGACUAAGGAUUUGACUCAGACCGAGUAACCUAAGACACAAAGGAUCAUGGAGAGAGAGGGGGGAUACUGAGGAACAAAACAAAAAUGUCUGUCGCUCCACUCUCCUCAUGCACACUGUGGUGUGUGUGUGAGAUCAGCUCAGUCGUGCGCUCUCACACUCUGGGCCAUUGCCUAAGUUCUGAGGAAAAUAACCCACCACUGCUUUGCUGAGGGAAGCUCCUGCUGUUAUCUCUGUCCCAUUUCUAAACAGACCAACCUGUGUGUCAGGAAUAUGGUAUCCUUACACACAAUGAGAGGGAGAGAACGAGCACUAAAUGCUCUAACUACGCUAAAUGGUACAGAGUGAAUUAUUUUUAUUUUUUGGAGGGUGAGGGAUGGUGGAGUGAUGGGGUGAAGUCUCUCAAUACACCCCUAACUCAGCACUCCCUCGGUCAGUCAUUCAGCAGCAACAUGGAUCGAUACAGAGUUGAAGUUCUUCAUGCCAAGCGACUCCUCGUAAAUGGGUACCGAAACUUUUGUCUUUAUUUAUUUCCCUUUGGUUGGAGUGUGAUGGAGGAGGCCAAACAAAGUUGGUGUUAAACGCUAGAAAAUGAAAGCUGUGCUUCGUAAUGUCCUGUCUCUGUGUCUGAUGAAGCGUGAAGUGCUCUGUAACCCUAACAAAAUGACUAUCACUGUAUUCCUGUGGUUUUAAAUGGCCUUCUCUUCUGUGCCGCUAUCGCAGUCUCCAUCCUGCUCAGUAUGAAAUGGAAUGGGAGAAAUGGCGGUCAUCAGUAAAUACUGUAAAUGCAUGAAGGGCAGGCGUUUAGUGCAGCCACAGCCUCAGUGCAGUGUAAUGAUCCAAAAGGUUGAACUGUUCACAGUACUUUAAGUUAAUAUUUCACUGCCUCUAUUGAAGGUUGAAUUAGAAAUGAAAACAACUGGUAAGACUUUUAACUUUUCAAUUAUAACGUUUAGAGAAAGCUGCUCUUAAGGUAGUGUGUGUCUGUAUUUGGGCUGAAACAUCGAAAUGAAAGUUGGUGAUUUAGGGAAACGACAUGCUUAAUAAGCUUGUGGCUGCCCAAUUAGCAUCUUGAGGAGGGGUUGUCAGCAGUCUGCCAAGAUAGUGCAGCGUUUUCAUUGGUGCAGAUCACCUCAACAAGUAAUUUCACAGAUGAGGUCUUUUAAAUAAAUCCUGCACUUGGCCCUUCAUGGCAUAUUGUUACCCACUGCUGUCUCGCAGAGAUAUUUCUUCUGUUUUCAGGCAUAUCCUAAAUUAUUUCAGUCUUUGUAACCUUUUUGUUUUUAGCAUAAAAUAAAU